GAUGAAGAACGUAGCGAAAUGCGAUAAGUAAUGUGAAUUGCAGAAUUCAGUGAAUCAUCGAAUCUUUGAACGCAUCUUGCGCUCCUUGGUAUUCCUUGGAGCAUGCCUGUUUGAGUAUCAUGAGCAAAUCUCAAAGUCAAUUCCUUUUGUUGAUUCAAUUGGUUUUGCUUUGGACUUGGAGGCCUUGCAGAUUUCACAGUCUGCUCCUCUUAAAUGCAUUAGCUGGAUCUCAGUAAUUAUGCUUGGUUCCACUCGGCGUGAUAAGUAUCACUCGCUGAGGACACUGUUAAAAAGGUGGCCAGGAAAAUACUGAUUGAACCGCUUCUAACGGUCUAUUAAGUUAGACAAUUACCCUUAAGUUUGAUCUCAAAUCAGGUAGGACUACCCGCUGAACUUAAGCAUAUCAAUAACGGAGGA
rnacentral:misc_RNA from 1 species